rfam:Cavia porcellus supercont2_13 genomic scaffold, whole genome shotgun sequence.
GGGGAUUUAGCUCAGCGGCAUAAGCGCCUGCCUUGCAAGCAGGCAGUCAUAGUUCAAUCCCUG